rnacentral:rRNA from 1 species
CGGCGGACGGGUGGAGUAAUGCCUAGGAAUCUGCCUGGUAGUGGGGACGAACGUUUCGAAAGGAACGCUAAUACCGCACACGUCCUACGGGAGAAAGCAGGGACCUUCGGGCCUUGCGCUAUCAGAUGAGCCUAGGUCGGAUUAGCUAGUUGGUGAGGUAAUGGCUCACCAAGGCGACGAUCCGUAACUGGUCUGAGAGGAUGAUCAGUCACACUGGAACUGAGACACGGUCCAGACUCCUACGGGAGGCAGCAGGA